rnacentral:rRNA from 1 species
AAACUCAAAUGAAUUGACGGGGGCCUGCACAAGCGGUGGAGCAUGUGGUUUAAUUCGAGGCAACGCGCAGAACCUUACCAGCGUUUGACAUGUCCGGACGAUUUCCAGAGAUGGAUCUCUUCCCUUCGGGGACUGGAACACAGGUGCUGCAUGGCUGUCGUCAGCUCGUGUCGUGAGAUGUUGGGUUAAGUCCCGCAACGAGCGCAACCCUCACCUUAGUUACCAUCAUUCAGUUGGGGACUCUAAAGGAACCGCCAGUGAUAAGCCGGAGGAAGGUGGGGAUGACGUCAAGUCCUCAUGGCCCUUACGCGCUGGGCUACACACGUGCUACAAUGGCGGUGACAGUGGGCAGCAAACUCGCGAGAGUGCGCUAAUCUCCAAAAGCCGUCUCAGUUCGGAUUGUUCUCUGCAACUCGAGAGCAUGAAGGCGGAAUCGCUAGUAAUCGCGGAUCAGCAUGCCGCGGUGAAUACGUUCCCAGGCCUUGUACACACCGCCCGUAAGGGCGA